rnacentral:lncRNA from 1 species
AUGUACUCUUCUGAUUUCUGUGGGUCCUUCUUUGGGUCCUGUGGCAAGAUUAAGAUAAACCAAGAAGGACUUCAUGCUUCAUGUGUUGGUCCCAACCCAACUUCCCACUGCUGCUCUUCUGACAAAUGAACAUGAUUCUGCUCUUACCUGCCUCUAUCUGUAUGUAUGUUUUAUAAGUUUUAUAAGUUAAAAAUUUUAC